GGAAUAUUGGACAAUGGGGGCAACCCUGAUCCAGCCAUGCCGCGUGUGUGAAGCAGGCCUUCGGGUUGUAAAGCACUUUCAGAGGCGAGGAAAGGGCGCUGGCUAAUAUCCAGCGCAGUUGACGUUAGCCCCAGAAGAAGCACCGGCUAACUCCGUGCCAGCAGCCGCGGUAAUACGGAGGGUGCACGCGUUAAUCGGAAUUACUGGGCGUAAAGCGCGCGUAGGCGGCUUGUUAAGUCAGAUGUGAAAUCCCCGGGCUCAACCUGGGAAUUGCCUCUGAUACUGGCGAGCUGGAGUACGGGAGAGGAGAGUAGAAUUCCAGGUGUAGCGGUGAAAUGCGUAGAUAUCUGGAGGAAUACCGGUGGCGAAGGCGGCUCUCUGGCCCGAUACUGACGCUGAGGUGCGAAAGCGUGGGGAGCAAAC
rnacentral:rRNA from 1 species